GUUUUGUUCACAUUCUUUGGAAUCAGAAGUGGAAUUCAAGCAACACUGAUUCUUCUCCUGAUGCUGUCCUGAACCAACACAUUGGGAUCUUCAAGGGUCCUUUGAGUUCAGUUGUCUUCUCAGAGAUGCCAGGAAGCCUCAGGUGUAUGCAUGUCUGUUCGUAUGUUGUCUACAUAAUACCAAGUUGACUUCGUUUGUUCGUUCGUGUGUUUUUGUUGAGCUACCGGGCCUGGCCCCACAUUGACUUUUAAAUAAAUAGCAUUGAGUCAUGGAUCCAUAUUUCUCAUUUAAAAAGAAGGCUCUUGAUCCUUCUACCAAGUGAACCGCCCAACUGGUCACUGAUAUCAAGCUCAAGUUAAUCAAACUACAGCCACCAGGACAAGAAGAAGACAACAUCUGGGGCAACCUAACUGAGUGUUGGAUAUGUCACCUUUCCCCCUGCCGAAGUC
rnacentral:lncRNA from 1 species